rnacentral:lncRNA from 1 species
UUUUUUUUUUUUAUGUUUUUUUUUAAUAAAUUGAUUUUUUAUUGGUGUUCAAUUACCCCAACAUACAGAAUAACACCCAGUGCCCGCGGGGCAGCCCAAAACCUGAGGAAGCGAGCCUGUUCCCUGGCCCGCCGCGCCCCGGCUCAGCCCGGCCAACCCCCUCGUUUCAAAGAGAGGUUUUAAGAUCAAAGAUGGGGAAAAUCGGAGAAAAUUGCCAUUCGCCACGGCCAGCUUGUUCAUGGUAUACACUUGUGUGAACAACCAAAGAUAAACAGACAGAAAAGCAAUAUAACUUACCAAUUAGCCGAGAUCAACCUCUGGCAAAAAAAGAAAUGGAAAUAACUUUUGGCAGGAUUCUGUUUCAUCCGCUUUAAUUCAGAAGCAGGAAAAAAAAAAUCCUUUUAAAAACACUGAGAAAUAGUAAAAAUAUGCAUUUGAAGAAAUAGCAUUCAUUUCUAACUGAAGUGAGCACAAAGGAAAAGUGUGCUGGGGGCAAAGUUUCGUGAUCCACCUUCUCCAUUGUUUCUUCCAAAGCCUCCUAGUCACUGGAUGGGAAGCACUACUGAACAAAUUCCCAACCAAAAUAGGGAGUUGAUGGGCGGUAUUUCUACUUAAAAACGCUCCUAAAAGUUCAAACUUAGAUCUCAGAUUGCAAUGUCUGUCAGUUUCCAAAAUUUGGACUCUUGAAAAGAAGAAUUGGUACAGAAAUGAAAAAUUUGCCUUGUAACUUACAAGUGCAAAGAUGAGUUGAAAAAUUACAACCAACAACUCUUGUAUUAUAUUUUAUAUUUUGUAAAUACGUUAUACAUGUAUUAUGUGUAUAUUGUUCAUACUUGAGACGUACAUUAUAGUUUUGUUAUGAAAGUAUGUAUUUUGCCCUGCGAACGGUAGGUGUUUGUAUACAUACGAUGGAGAAAUUUUAAGUGUGCUAAGGCUAUAUGGAAGACCGAUUUUAUUUGCACAAGGUACUUGAGAUUUUUUUUUAAAGGAACAGCUAUCUCAAUGUUGAGAUCUAAAUGUGAACAGUUUUACUAAUCGCACUACUGAAGUUUAAAUCUGUGGCACAAUCAUUGUAAACAUGGGGUUUGUCUAGUGAUUUCUCUAAAUUUGAUUUCUGGCUUCUAAUCUGUAAUUACUGGAACAACUAUUCCCAUUUUUACCAAACUUAAUUUCUGGUUUUUGGUUUAGUUCAUUCAAAUUUAAGAUACCUCUAAUUUUAAUGCCAAUAAAAUUGGUUGUACUCAAAUUUUUAAAUAAUAAAGUAAUUUGGCCCCCCCCUUUUAAAAAGAAAAGAAAUAUUUGUUUAACUCAAACAAGGCAAGUUAAGGAGAAAAGACAAUGAAAACUGCAGGCAACAUAUGGAAAAAAAGCAAUAUGAUAAAUAUGAUAAAUGUAAAUACAGCCACAUCAACAAUUAUGCUACAUGUUACUGUCUUAUUACCCCUAUUAAAAAGCAAUGAUCAUUGGACUAGAUAAAAGGCAAGAUUCAACUGUUGCUAUCUACAAGAGACAUAUUUUGGAUCCAGAGACACAAAUACAGGAAAGGAAAAAGAUAGAAAAAUAUACACCGUGCAAGCAGUAAUCAUAAAAAAGCUUGUGUCUAUAUUAAUAUUAGACAAAAUAGACUUUAUGACAAUAAAUAUUAUGAGAGAAUGAGAGGGAAAUUUCAGAAUGAUAAAAGGUUCAGUAGAUCAAGAAGGGAUAUAACAAUUAUAAAUGUAAAUUUACUCAACAGCAGAGUUUCAAAAUACACAAAGCAAAAUUGAAAGGAAUAAAAAGAAAAAUAGACAAUUUAGUAGCUCACUCUCAAUAAUUGAUAAAAUAGCUUGUAUGAACAUCAUCAAAGAUACAGAAGACAUAGAUGAUAUUAUUAACCAAUUUGAUCUAACUAAUAAUAAUAAUCUAACUAAUAAUAAUAACUAAUAAUAAUGUAACUAAUAAACCAUUUUAUCUAAUAAAUGAAGAAUACACAUUCUUCUCAAAUUUGCAUAGAAAAAUUUUCUGGACAUACAAUAUUAUAGUCCAGUCCAACAAGUAAUCAAUAACAUUUAAUAGUGAAAUAAUAAAAUAUGUGUUUUCUGAUUACAAAGAAAUUAAAUUUUAAAUCCACAGCAGAGAAGCCUGGGUGGCUCAGUGGUUGAGUGUCUGCCUUCAGCUCAGGGCAUGAUCCUGGGGUCUGGGAUUGAGUACUGCAUCGGAUCCCUGCAGAGAGCCCACUUCUCCCUCUGCCUAUGUCUCUGCCUCUCUCUCUGUGUCUCUCAUGAACAAAUAAAUAAAAUUAAAAAAAAAAAAAAAAGAAAUCCACAGAAGAAAAUAUAAGAAAUCAAGUGUUGUUAAAUUAAGCUGCACGCUUUCUAAGUAUUUACCCAAAGAAUACAAAAAUACUAAUUCAAAGGGAUACAUGCACCCCAAUGUUUCCAGUAGCAUUAUCUGCAAUGGCCAAGUUAAGAAACAGCACAAGUGUCCUUCAACUGAUGAAUGAUAAAGAAGAUGUAGUAUAUAUCUCACUCACACACACACACACACACACACACACACACACACCAUGGAAUAUUAGUCAUAAAAAAAGAAUAGAGCUAGAGAGUAUUAUGCUAAGUGAAAUAAGUCAGUCAAAGAAAGGCAAAUAUCAUGAUUUCACUCAUGUAGAAUUUAAGAAAAAAAUGAGCAAAGGGGAAUAAAAGAGGCAAAUCAAGAAACAGACUCUUAAUUAUAGAGAACAAACUAGUGGUUAUCAGAGAGGAGGUGAAUGGGGGAUAGAAUAAAUAGGGGACUGGGUAUUAAGUAGUGUGGAGAGCAUUCGAUUUUUUGUAUGGAAGUUGUUUAAUACACUAGAUUGUCCACGCUGAAACGAAUAUGACCAUCUUUAUUUUUAUUAACCGGAAUUUAAAUAAAAACAUUUUUAUAAAAUAGAUAAAAGCACACUUUCAAAUAUUCCCAAGGGUUAACCAAAAAAAAAAAAAAAAAAAAAAGAAUCACAAAAGAAACUGGAAAAUAAGUAGAACUAAAUGAAAAUAACAACUAAUCAAUCAAAAUAUAUGGAAUAUACCUAAAUCAUUGCAUUUAUAUCAUUAAAUACUAUAUCAGAAAAGAUCACCUCAAAUAAAUAAUUAAAGUUUUCACUUUAAGAAACUAGACAAAGAAUGGCAAAUUAAACCCAAUACACACACACACACACACAUACACACACACUCAUGUUCAUAUAUGCAUACAUACACACACUUGUGUUCAUGCAUGCACACACAUUCAUGUUCAUCCAUGCACAAAUUCAUGUUCAUGUGUGCAGUCACACUUAUACAAAGGAAACAAUGAAGAUGAGAGCAGACACAAAUGAUAUAGAAAGAUUUAAAAAGUUGAUGAAAUAAUAAAGUUUGUUCUUGAAGAAAAUCAAUAAAAUUGACCAAAGACAACUGAACUGUCCAAGAAAAAAAAAAAAGAGAGAGAGAAAAAGCACAUCACCAAAACCAGGUAUAAAAGAGUGGACAUUACUGUGUGUGCUGUAGAAAUCAGAGGGAUUAUAAAGGAUUAUUGUGACUACCUUAUAUCUACAAAUGAGACAACUUGGAGUGGACAAAUCCCUACAAAGACAUUUAUUAUCAAAACCUGACUUAAGGGGUACCUCAGUGGCUCAGUCAGUUAAGUCUACCUUUGGCUUGGGUCAUGGGCCAGGGAUCCUGGGAUCAAGCCCUGCAUUGGGGUCCCUGUUCGAGGGGAGCCUGCUUCUCCCUCACCUCCCCAUUUGUGCUCAAUCUCUCAA